UACGUAGGGGGCAAGCGUUGUCCGGAUUUAUUGGGCGUAAAGAGCGUGUAGGCGGCCUGAAAGGUCAGCUGUGAAAACUCGAGGCUCAACCUCGAGACGUCGGUUGAAACCAUCUGGCUAGAGUCCGGAAGAGGAGUGUGGAAUUCCCGGUGUAGCGGUGUAAUGCGCAGAUAUCGGGAAGAACACCCGUGGCGAAGGCGGCACUCUGGGACGGUACUGACGCUGAGACGCGAAAGCGUGGGGAGCGAACAGG
rnacentral:rRNA from 1 species